GGCCUCUGGAAGCAGGACAGGAGCUGUCAAGUUCAAUUUAUCCCUGCUCUCCGUUGAUAAGCAGAAAGAUGUUUUGUGAAAUGUCAGUAAACGUAACUUUAACCCAAAAAGAGUCUCGGAUGCAAUUGAGGAACGGUUUGAAAGCUGUCAUUGAUGGGAUAGUACUUCCAACUUGUAAUUGAAAGAACUCCGCAGUCUAGCCAAGAAACACUUUCUCCCAUCUAUAUUCUGGAAAGAGACUUGAAAUGACACAUGAUUAUUUCUUCAUGUGUAAUAUUCAUUGUUAUGUACACACCCACAGAAGGAAUAAAUGGUACUAAGAUAUUUCAGUUCCAGCCAAAGCAAUAGCUCUAGAGAAAGCAGCCAUGUUACUAUGACUGUCGCUGAAAAAAGGAGAAUCCGGGUCCCUUAGCAAAUGAGGCCUGAACCAGAAAAGAAGACACCACAGACUCUUCACAUUCUGAAUUCCAGCACUGAGCUAGACGCAUCGAGGAGCUGGGUAUGACCGCUCCCUGUUGAGAGAAGCAAGCCCUUGAAGAUUAUGAAGAGCAUCUUGCAUAAUGAGAGACGUAGAACAAGAGAGAGCGAUCUACAGCUUAAAGGAGAAAGGCUGUUGCUGAAGCAGAUACACAUUGAAUGGAAAGAAAGCAAGUCAUAUAUCAACAGCUGUGCUCCGUCCUUUCAUUUGGAGGAAGAAAGAAAAGAAGCCACGGGACCUUCCCUGAUGCUCCUUCAGCUCUAGUGCUGCUGUGUUUCCAACAUGUUGAAGCUUCAGAGAUGGUGAACACACAGACCUCAUCGGGCCUCUGGCAGGAGAGAGAGACAGGGGAAGAGCUAGGCAUCCAGAAGACGGGGUGGCUAAAGGAUUACCUUAAGAAAUCCUCAGUGUGUACACCAAGUUCUGACUGUAGUUGAACGAAUAAAAAUGUAGCUUCAACACACAGAAAAAGGGUGGUCAGCUCCACAAAUAGGAUCAGAAACCGACUGACUGAUUACUUUGGCCACAUCGGUGGAUGUCCUGCUGUAGGUAGUGGUGUAGGGCGGGCUUUGAGGACCACAGUGUGAAAUGCUCACCACCUCUGCGCAUCGGGAAGUCUCGUCAGCUCUGGAGAACUGACAGGUUCCCGAGCGUGCCUUUGCCUGAGAAUUCAGCGAUUUAAGAAUUCGUAUCAGUUUGCACACUCCACAUUUUCUCUAUUUUCUGUCCUCCAAAGAGAGGGCAGAGUCUUUGUUCCCCAGACGUAUGAAUUUGGGUAAUUGUAAGUAACAAAGAAUAAUCUCUGGACAGUGUUAAAUAAAAA